GUCCGCGUCCCAUUAGCUAGUUGGCGGGGUAAUGGCCCACCAAGGCUACGAUGGGUAGCUGGUCUGAGAGGAUGAUCAGUCACACUGGAACUGAGACACGGUCCAGACUCCUACGGGAGGCAGCAGUGGGGAAUUUUGCGCAAUGGGCGAAAGCCUGACGCAGCAACGCCGCGUGAGGGAUGAAGGUUUUAGGAUCGUAAACCUCUGUCAGAAGGGAAGAACCACCUGUAGUAUAAUACACUGCAGGCUUGACGUACCUUCAAAGAAGCACCGCUAACU
rnacentral:rRNA from 1 species